CUGGGAUUCUAAACACUGUCACCACGACUGUGGGUCAGCCGCUGUUAACAAGUUAACAUGACGAGCGUUGGGAGCAAAGAAUCAGACAUAGUGAAGGGCGCCGGGGGUCUGCUGCUGAUCUCAAGAGGUGGAAGAAAAUGAAAAUAAAAACUAUCUGACUGCUAAAAAUCCAAUACGGAGGUGAGUGCGGCGUGCAGGGAGCGGUUGGCCGCGGACAGGGGCUGGAUGAGGGACUGGAACUGGGAGCGGGUCUCCUGGUGACCCAGGACCGAGACGCACAUCGCGAAGAACCCCUCCGGAUCCUCUCGACCCGCCAGCACCUCUCUCAACCACUUCCUCACCGACGCUUUACUGUCGUCGGCGUCGACCACCGGCCGAGGCAUCUUCCAAGCGAAAGGACUUGGACAAAUUUACAGCCGGACCUGGAUACAUGCUUCUUGGGGCUUUGCGCGAGAACCCACCGGACCGCAUACAGCCGACACCAGUGUCAAGUGGAGGACUCCGUGAGAAAGAAACGUCCUUCCUGCAGACGUCCUGAGCAGGAUGAUGACAUUCCAGCCAGCUCCAGGGGUGCUGCCCCUCAGUUGCCCCUGAUCUCUGACCCGGGGUCAGGGAGCAAAGAGAGAUAUUUCCUAUAAGGAUCAAUUGAUAAGUGUGAUUAUUAAUCUGGACGGUUAAAAAUGUUUUAUGUGUUGGCGUGCGUGUUUGUGUGUGUGCGUGCGUGCUAGUGUGUGUGUGUGUGUGUAAUUUUAAAUAAAUUAUAUAUAUGUGCGUAUAUGUGUGUGUGUAUGUAUAUACAUAUAUGAUGUUUGCCAAAAUUCUAUGUCAUAAGAAGAAUACUGGAUAAUUCAAAACCCCUAAUAAAACUGAUGAAACUUCUUUGCUUGAUCACCAAACAUCUUUCGCUCAUCAAUUCUGUAUCAUCUUGAUUUAACAUUUACUUAAUACAUUUAAAUAAUAUUGUAAUUAAACAAUUUGAAGUGGAUUUUUUGUUUAUCAAUCGUGAGGAACAGAUUUGUUCUAGUUCUGGCUAAAACCUCAAUGAUAUGUCACAGAUCACAAUAAGCAAGGCCCAGAAAUUCACCCCUGUCCAAACAGAGCAAAACUAAAAAAAAGAAUCUUCUUCUGUAGAUUCUCACAUAUAUGUUCAUAUCACCAAGGCUCUGUUCGUAAUAUUUUUCCUGUCUGUGCA